rnacentral:rRNA from 1 species
UACGUAGGGGGCAAGCGUUGUCCGGAUUAUUGGGCGUAAAGAGCGUGUAGGCGGCUAUACAGGUCCGCUGUGAAAACUCGAGGCUCAACCUCGAGACGUCGGUGGAAACCGUAUGGCUAGAGUACGGUAGAGGGGGAUGGAAUUCCGCGUGUAGCAGUGAAAUGCGUAGAUAUGCGGAGGAACACCGAUGGCGAAGGCAAUCCCCUGGACCUGUACUGACGCUCAUGCACGAAAGCGUGGGGAGCAAACAGG